AGCUCCAAUAGCGUAUAUUAAAGUUGCUGCAGUUAAAAAGCUCGUAGUUGCAUUUCCGAGGCAAGGGAUUAGUCCGACCUUUGGUGGGUAUUUAAUCCUCUUGCCUCGUCCUUGAGUGGUGCUUCUUGGUAUUAAGUUAUCGAGGAGAUAGCCGCUCAUCGUUUACUGUGAGAAAAUUAGAGUGUUCAAAGCAGGCUUAUGCCGUUGAAUAUAUUAGCAUGGAAUAAUAAGAUAGGACCUCGGUACUAUUUUGUUGGUUUGAGAACCAAGGUAAUGAUGAAUAGGGACAGUUGGGGGUAUUCGUAUUCAGUUGUCAGAGGUUAAAUUCUUAGAUUUACGGAAGACGAACUACUGCGAAAGCAUUUUCCAAGGAUGUUUUCA
rnacentral:rRNA from 1 species